AGAGUUUGAUCAUGGCUCAGGACGAACGCUGGCGGCACGCUUAACACAUGCAAGUCGAACGAGAGAAGAGGAGCUUGCUUUUCUGAUCUAGUGGCGGACGGGUGAGUAACACGUGAGCAAUCUGCCUUUCAGAGGGGGAUACCGAUUGGAAACGAUCGUUAAUACCGCAUAACAUAAUUGAACCGCAUGAUUUGAUUAUCAAAGAUUUAUCGCUGAAAGAUGAGCUCGCGUCUGAUUAGCUAGCUGGUAAGGUAACGGCUUACCAAGGCGACGAUCAGUAGCCGGACUGAGAGGUUGAUCGGCCACAUUGGGACUGAGACACGGCCCAGACUCCUACGGGAGGCAGCAGUGGGGAAUAUUGCACAAUGGAGGAAACUCUGAUGCAGCGAUGCCGCGUGAGGGAAGAAGGCUUUAGGAUUGUAAACCUCUGUCUUCAGGGACGAAAAAAGACGGUACCUGAGGAGGAAGCUCCGGCUAACUACGUGCCAGCAGCCGCGGUAAUACGUAGGGAGCGAGCGUUGUCCGGAAUUACUGGGUGUAAAGGGAGCGUAGGCGGGAUCGCAAGUCAGAUGUGAAAACUAUGGGCUUAACCCAUAAACUGCAUUUGAAACUGUGGUUCUUGAGUGAAGUAGAGGUAAGCGGAAUUCCUAGUGUAGCGGUGAAAUGCGUAGAUAUUAGGAGGAACAUCAGUGGCGAAGGCGGCUUACUGGGCUUUAACUGACGCUGAGGCUCGAAAGCGUGGGGAGCAAACAGGAUUAGAUACCCUGGUAGUCCACGCCGUAAACGAUGAUUACUAGGUGUGGGGGGACUGACCCCUUCCGUGCCGCAGCAAACGCAAUAAGUAAUCCACCUGGGGAGUACGACCGCAAGGUUGAAACUCAAAGGAAUUGACGGGGGCCCGCACAAGCAGUGGAGUAUGUGGAUUAAUUCGAAGCAACGCGAAGAACCUUACCAGGUCUUGACAUCGUAUGCAUAGCUCAGAGAUGAGUGAAAUCUCUUCGGAGACAUAUAGACAGGUGGUGCAUGGUUGUCGUCAGCUCGUGUCGUGAGAUGUUGGGUUAAGUCCCGCAACGAGCGCAACCCUUACUGUUAGUUGCUACGCAAGAGCACUCUAGCAGGACUGCCGUUGACAAAACGGAGGAAGGUGGGGAUGACGUCAAAUCAUCAUGCCCCUUAUGACCUGGGCCUCACACGUACUACAAUGGCUGUCAACAGAGGGAAGCAAAGCCGCGAGGUGGAGCGAACCCCUAAAAGCAGUCUUAGUUCGGAUUGUAGGCUGCAACCCGCCUACAUGAAGUCGGAAUUGCUAGUAAUCGCAGAUCAGCAUGCUGCGGUGAAUACGUUCCCGGGCCUUGUACACACCGCCCGUCACGCCAUGGGAGUCGGUAACACCCGAAGCCUGUAGUCUAACCGCAAGGAGGACGCAGUCGAAGGUGGGAUUGAUGACUGGGGUGAAGUCGUAACAAGGUA
rnacentral:rRNA from 1 species